GGGGGGGGGGGGGGGGGGGGUGGGGUGGGGGGGGGCGGCCGGAAGGGCCCUGCUGUUGUGGGGUGCUCGGGUGGCGAACGGGUGCGUACCAGGGGGGUAACCUGCCCUUGCCUUUGGGGUCACUUCAGUAACCUGGGGCUACUACCGGAUAGGAGCUCCGGCUGCCUGGUGGGGGUUGGAAAGUUUCGGCGGUGGGGGAUGGACUCGCGGCUUAUAAGCUUGUUGGUGGGGUGGGGGCUUACCAAGGCCUUGACGGGUAGCCGGCAUGAGAGGGUGACCGGACACAUUGGGACGGAGAUACGGCCCAGACGCCUACGGGAGGAAGCAGUGGGGAAUAUUGCACAAGGGGCGGAAGCCUGAUGCAGCAACGCCGCGUGCGGGAUGACGGCCUUCGGGUUGUAAACCGCUUUCGCCUGUGACGAAGCGUGAGUGACGGUAAUGGGUAAAGAAGCACCGGCUAACUACGUG
rnacentral:rRNA from 1 species